GAUGUUGCCUGAAAAGUUUUGCAUGGAAUAAUGGAAUAGGACUUCGGUUCUAUUUCGUUGGUUUUCGGAUCCGAAGUAAUGAUCAAAAGAGACAGGCGGGGACGUUUGUAUGGCUGCGCUAGAGGUGAAAUUCAUGGACCGUAGCCAGACAAACUAAAGCGAAAGCAUUCGUCAAGCAUGUUUUCAUUGGCCAUGAGCGAAAGUCAGAGGCUCGAAGACGAUCAGAUACCGUCCUAGUUCUGACCAUAAACGAUGCCAACUGACGAUCCGUGCAGGUAGUCUAUCAACCUUCCUCACGGGCAGUCCCCGGGAAACCAUUAAGUCUUUGGGUUCCGGGGGAAGUAUGGUUGCAAAGCUGAAACUUAAAGGAAUUGACGGAAGGGCACCACCAGGAGUGGAGCCUGCGGCUUAAUUUGACUCAACACGGGAAAACUCACCCGGCCCGGACACUAUGAGGAUUGACAGAUUGACAGC
rnacentral:rRNA from 1 species